rnacentral:rRNA from 1 species
GACGAACGCUGGCGGCGUGCUUAACACAUGCAAGUCGAACGGACAGGCCCUGCUUUUGUUGUGUUCUUGAGUGGCGAACGGGUGAGUAACACGUGUGUAACCUGCCCUUGACUUUGGGAUAACUUCAGGAAACUGGGGCUAAUACCGGAUAUGAUCUCCUGCUGCAUGUUGGGGGUUGGAAAGUUUGGGCGGUUGGGGAUGGACUCGCGGCUUAUCAGCUUGUUGGUGUGGUAGUGGCUUACCAAGGCUUUGACGGGUAGCCGGCCUGAGAGGGGGACCGGCCACAUUGGGACUGAGAUACGGACCAGAAGCCUACGGGAGGCAGCAGUGGGGAAUAUUGCACAAUGGGCGGAAGCCUGAUGCAGCAACGCCGCGUGCGGGAUGACGGCCUUCGGGGUGUAAACCGCUUUCGCCUGUGACGAAGAGUGAGUGACGGUAAUGGGUAAAGAAGCACCGGCUAACUACGUG